rnacentral:rRNA from 1 species
AUGGUUUUAUCGUGGGGGACUGACAAUGGGCCUAUCCAGCACAUGGACUUAGUUGUUCUUAAUAGCCAGGGCAACCGUAUGUAUGUGCAGAUACCUCCUCAGCGAGCAGAAGAACUGAAGAAUGAGCUGCAGGUAGGAAAGGUCUACAUGAUGAGCAGCUUCAACUGCGUUGAAGCAAAGACAACUUAUAGACCUGUUGAGAGUCGCUUCAUGAUUCAGUUCACCAGGUUUAGCAAUGUUGUUUUAUGCCCGGGUUUGGAAGCAGAUUACCCGUUCUGCACCUACAAUUUGAUCCCAUUUCAGGACAUCCCCAGGCCAUGUGGGCCACCACCUUGUUUCCUUGCCUCUUACCCCUCUAUAUUGUUCAAUAACUAUGCAGGUGUUCAAGGACUUAGUGGUAGUUCUCCUUGUCGUUGGUAUAUUGACAAGGAUCUCCCAGUGAUAAAUGACUUCCGCAACAGGUUGGGGAAUAAUUUCAAACCCAUUAGUAACAAUGCUGCUUUGACCGAGGGUGCAUUUACUACCCGUAUCUAUGCUGAUCCAGUUGAAAAGUCCGUGUCAGAGCUCCUCCGCCUGAACCCUUACGAGAAUGAGGUAUCCUCGCUGUCUUUUCCUCUAUAUGGUGUUCCCACUUUUCCUGGUCAUGUGCUCAACUACAAGUUAAGUUACUUCGACAGGAAAAAUGGUUCAUAUGUACCAUCACUGUCCAGAGGCUCAAUCCUGAUCAGCGCUGGUGGUUCUUCUGUUGCUCCUCCUGCAACAAGACCUCUACAAUAGUAUUGUAUUUCGGUAUUUGCGAGUGAUGACGUAGGUGAGGCUGAGUUCACCAUGUUUGAUAAAGUUGGAAAAGCAGCUGUUGGAAAACCACUCCUAAAUUUACGGAAGUUUAGAAACCCAGGACUUCCAACCAUACAAGAGAUAGCCCAGAACGAUGAUGAAAAGGCUGAAGAUCCUUCUAAUGCUGCUAAUGCAAAAGAUGAUAAGAGUCCACUUCAGAGAAACAAGAACAAGAUAAUGAGGCCCAUUGAGCCAUUACCACCUCUGCCAAAUGGUCGGGACAUCACCGUCGAUGCUGCUGCCCCACACUGUUUUCUUCAAGACACGGAGGUCGACCCCGAUAGAUUCCAGGAGCUAUCACAUUCUAUAAUCCUCAAACGAGAAGAUGGUGUUGAACCCAUAGACACAAAGGAAAUACUUUCUGCGGUCAUUCGGUAUAUACCAGCGUCAAGAUACAUCAUGGUGAAGCCAAUUAGCUUUGAUACUUUCCUUGUAUACUAUCAAGGGGAUGUUCAGUAUGCUACAUUUGCAGCAUUCAGAUCAACUGUUCUGGCAAGGGGACACAUUGAGCUAAGCGGCCACAUCUUCAAGGCUAUUCCUUGGUGUUCUUCUUAUGGUGGCCAGCAAAUUUCACUUACCCGAUUUAUUCGUGUGAGUAUAAGUGAACUUCCGGCUGGAAUCCUCCGACACGAAAUAGCAAGCCAGCUGUUGAGCCCGUUUGUCUUGGUUGAAGAGAAUGGCAAAGAUAACGGUUCAAUCUCCAACUAUGCUGGAAAACUAAGGAAUAUUGCUGUGAUGAAGCCUACAAAAGUUGAUGAGAUGCCACUGGAUGCAGAGGAGAUACAUGCCAGGUUUUCUCCGGAUGAAGAAUACUCCAACAAUAACCAAUCUAAAGGCCAACUGCUUGAGGAAGAGAUGCUAGGCAUGGAAGAGGCCUACACUCAGUAUGAGAAUUCACAGCCGCGUUGUGAGGCCAUACCACCGAUGAUCAAAAUCCCUUACAGGAUGAUGCUGGAUGUUCUUUUAGAGACUUUAGAACUUCCAGCAGCUGAAUAUCGAAGCAAAGCAUGUGAUGGCGGUAGAUGUAUCGAUCAUGCAAUGUCAGAGGACACAGUUGCCAUGGAAGCAAUUGGAUACAUAAAAUGCAUGGUUAAGACUGAACUAAGAGACUAUAGUUACAGCAACAUGAAGAAACUGGAUGAGGAAAAUCAGUCUCUAAAGCAUGAGCUAGUAGUGGCAAAGUAUAACAAGAAGAAAACAAAGGCGAAGAACAGAUCCAUUAAGAACAAAUUAACGAUGGCUAGGUAUAAGAACAAGAAAAAUGCUAUGGGCUGCUUCAUUCUUACAAGAUACAUGCAUGGAUUAUCUGAUCAUAUAUGCAAUGUGACAGCGCUCAACAGAUCAUCUGGGAAUGAACCCAUGGAUCAGCUUAUGAACAAACCUCUUAACAACAUUGAGAAGAUAGAAGAAAGGCUCAAGCGCAGGGUGCUCAAAUCAGAAAAGCAACUAAAAAGCAUCAAGAGAGGUUUCUAG